UAACCUACGGGACGCAGCAGUGGGGAAUAUUGCACAAUGGGGGAAACCCUGAUGCAGCAACGCCGCGUGAGUGAAGAAGUAUUUCGGUAUGUAAAGCUCUAUCAGCAGGGAAGAAAAUGACAGUACCUGACUAAGAAGCCCCGGCUAACUACGUGCCAGCAGCCGCGGUAAUACGUAUGGAGCAAGCGUUAUCCGGAUUUACUGGGUGUAAAGGGAGCGUAGGCGGCAUACCAAGCCUGAUGUGAAAACCCGGGGCCCAACCCCGGGAGUGCAUUGGGAACUGGCAAGCUAGAGUGUCGGAGAGG
rnacentral:rRNA from 1 species